AUGGAUGGAUGGAUGGAUGGAUGGAUGGAUGGAUGGAUGGAUGGAUCCAUGGAUCCAUGGAUGGAUGGAUGUGUGAUGGAACCUGGUGUGUUUUGUUCAUGUUUUGUUCACUAAAGGGUUAAAGAUAGAGGCAAUAAAAAAAUACUUAGGCCUAAAACCGCGUGUAACCCAAACCGCAUGCAAUCACAAGUAUAUUCUUGCUUAAUAAAUGCUUGCUUAAAAUAUCCUUGCUUAAUAAGUGCUUGCUCAAUAAACCAUCAGUUCUACAAUUUCAGGCAUGACCACUAAAUAAGGAGAAGUCGACCAAAGGACACCUGAGGAAGACUAGCAGCCUUCAUCUGACGACCACCAGGAGGCAGAGGACGACCCCUUAGCGAGAGGAGGACACGUGCAGAGUACUUUUGGGACAUGUCACCAACGAGAAGAGACACAGUAUAACAGUUGGACUGUAACAGAUGGAUGGAUGGAUGGAUGGAUGGAUGGACGGAUGGAUGGAUGGACAGUGUGGCAGGAUGUCCCCAUGGAUCCAGGUCUUACCCAAGCCUGGUUUGGUCACCUGGGUGUCUCAAGAGAGGAGGAGGAGGGAAAUGGGAAUAACAGGAAAACUCUGCUAAUUCUAGAAAUUCUGUGCAAGAAUUUUAUUGUUGAAAGCUUUCAGCAAUAAUAAUAAUAAUAAUAAUAAUAAUCAUCAUCAUCAUCAUAAUUCAUUGUAACCCCAGUCCUCACCCCACUGAGGACCCUUACAGACCCUCAUUCCCACCGUGACACACCGAGCACCCCAAAAAAGUGCAGCUCUUGGCUUUGGGGCUCCACCCGAACCUCUUCCCUCGGCUCUGUCCCACGAGCUGCUCCUCCCAGGCACAGGAGCUCGGGAAAACACAAAGGUCCCGAUCCCAAUCCCGGUCCCCAUGCUAAUCCCAGUCCCGAUCCCGGUGCCGGUCCUGAUCCCAGUACUGAUCCCAAUCCCGGUGCUGUUCCCGAUCACGAUCGUGAACCCGAUCCCAAUCCUGAUCCCGAUGCCGAUCCCAGUCCCACUCCUGAUCCCAGUCCCAAUCCCGAUCCCGGUGCCGAUCCCAGUCCCACUCCUGAUCCCAGUCCCAAUCCCGAUCCCGGUGCCGAUCCCAGUCCCACUCCUGAUCCCAGUCCCACUCCUGAUCCCAAUCCCGAUCCCGGUGCCGAUCCCAGUCCCACUCCUGAUCCCAGUCCCAACCCCGAUCCCGGUGCCGAUCCCAGUCCCACUCCUGAUCCCAGUCCCACUCCUGAUCCCAAUCCCAAUCCCAGUCCCACUCCUGAUCCCAGUCCCAAUCCCGAUCCCGGUGCCGAUCCUGUUGCAGAAGUUCGAAAAUUAUUGAAAAUCAUAUUCUAGUUAAUAGAUGUCUAGAUUAAUGAAGCAAUAUAAUAGUUAGCAUGAGUAGCAGUAGUUCUGCUAAGGCCGCAGUAGGCCCGGUAAACUUUGAGUGAACUUUAGUGCAUGGUAGAUCGGAGGAUGUGUUAUCUAGAGAAUGUACCAAACCUUAUCUAUGGAAUGCACCUUCUGGCAAAGUAACGGGUGUCAUGGUGUACCUAAUAAAUCUCUGUAUGCUGUCUCUAAAGGCAUGCAGGGGUUUGUUGGGUGCAUCAUGACAUUUGUUAAAGAUGCUUAGCGAUGCAUAUAGAUCAAAUGAAGCAAUCAUGUUAAGAAAAGUAUAUAAACCCUGUAGAUUCUGUGGCAAAACGGGGCUCUGACUUUGGACGAAAGUCCUCAGGCUCCCGGGCCCUAAUAAAGCACCUCAUAAAGCAA